rnacentral:pre_miRNA from 1 species
UAAGUACUCCCUCCGUCCGAAAAAACUUGUCCCAAGCUUGUCCCUCAAAUGGAUGUAUCUAGCACUAACUUGAUGCUAGAUACAUCCAUUUGAGGGACAAGCUUUUACGGACGGAGGGAGUAACAU